UACGAAGGGGGCUAGCGUUGCUCGGAAUCACUGGGCGUAAAGGGUGCGUAGGCGGGUCUUUUAAGUCAGGGGUGAAAUCCUGGAGCUCAACUCCAGAACUGCCUUUGAUACUGAGGAUCUUGAGUUCGGGAGAGGUGAGUGGAACUGCGAGUGUAGAGGUGAAAUUCGUAGACUUCGCAAGAACACCAGUGGCGAAGGCGGCUCACUGGCCCGAUACUGACGCUGAGGCACGAAAGCGUGGGGAGCAAACAGG
rnacentral:rRNA from 1 species